GUUGUCGGCGGGGGCGGAGGCUGUGGGUGGCGGGGGCGCGCUCAGUCUCGCUUGUGCUCCUCGUGCCGGGCCGAGGCGGCGGCGGCUGAGGCGGCAGGGGCAGGGCCAGCAGGAGGGUAUGGGGGAUGGACCCGGCGUGGCGGCCGCGGCAGGAGCCGGGGGCUGAGCGCUCGAGACGGCGCUGCGAAACGCCGGCUGCCCUCUGCUGCCCGCCGGUGUUACCCUAUGGAGAAGAGGUACCAUAGUCAGCCCUUUCUGCAGAUGCUGAUGCUUGGUGAACAGCUGAUCACAGGAUUUGGAAAACACAGUGUCCAUCCUCCCAGAUUGGAUCUCUCUCUCUUUUUUUUUUUUUUUUGGUACCAGGGAUCAAACUCGGGACCUUGCGCUUGCGAGGAAGGUGGUGGAAUCACUGAGCUAAAUCCCUGUCUCCUGAAUCUCUUUUCAUAAGGAUAUUCUAUUUCUAUGUCUUUUUAAAAAAUAACUUUUUGGGAAACAUUUUGGAUUAUAAUUGUUUGUUCUCAUCUAUGCAAAGGAAGGAAGACUGUUGCUGGGAUUUUUAAGGAGUGCUGGGAAUGGAAACCAGAGCUUCAGGCAUGCUAAGCAAGAUCUCUACUGUUGAACUCCAUCCUCAGCCCUUGAAACAUCUACCUUCUACACAUGGUUGAUUUUUUUAAGAAAAAUUGAACAGGGCUUUGGUCAUGCUAGACUCAAGUGACCACAUCAUCUGGUAUGCCCAUGACCUUCCCCGUUUGAAUGCUGGAAAUCUUGCAACCUGGGUAGUCCUCAAGUUCCAGAAGAGCAAACAGCGCCCCCACACCAGAUGUUGCCUGUAGCUUGUACUCUCACCCCUGUCACCUCCUCGAGCCAUUGCCUAAGUGUCAUACUACACUGAAGUCUCCUCUGCCCACUGUGUGUAAUGUGGCAAUGUGAUUCUUGACUGUCCUGAUUACCCUCCCAGAUGCUAUCUGUAAAGCUGGUUGCUAUCUAAUGGCUGGUACUUACUAAUGUAUUUGUCAAUUCUUCUGAGAGUCCCACAAGAAUUGGGAUUAUCAGGCCAGGGAUUUAGCUCAGUGGUUUCACCCCG